UACGUAGGGUGCAAGCGUUGUCCGGAAUUAUUGGGCGUAAAGAGCUCGUAGGCGGUUUGUCGCGUCGAAUGUGAAAACCCGGGGCUCAACUCCGGGCCUGCAUUCGAUACGGGCAGACUAGAGUUCGGUAGGGGAGACUGGAAUUCCUGGUGUAGCGGUGAAAUGCGCAGAUAUCAGGAGGAACACCGGUGGCGAAGGCGGGUCUCUGGGCCGAUACUGACGCUGAGACGCGAAAGCGUGGGGAGCGAACAGG
rnacentral:rRNA from 1 species